rnacentral:lncRNA from 1 species
UCGAGAAUAUAAACCUUAGCCGGCAACAAAACCGAGCUGUCCCAAUCAACCCAUCUCACAGUAUACUUAAGAUACACAGUUCUUGUUUUGUUUCCACUUUCGAAUCCGUUUCUUAACCGACAUUGAGUACUAUUAUAAGCUUUAGUUUGUUAACACUAUUAUACAAGAUUUGUAACAAACUUUAAGAUCAUUAAUGAAUAAAUCAACAUUCUUCUUUGAAUCAAGAACACUUCAAUAACUCCACUCUAAAUCAUCAUAAUCCAAUCAGAUCAGAACCAUAUACUAACCACAAACGCGUUUCAGAGAGUUUAGCGAUAUACAAUACCUUCGUAAUCACCAUUCUUCGAAACGAUCCAGCGACCAUCAAACGCCUCAUCGAACGAUUCAUACAACACCUGAACACAAAUCCAACGAGCUCAGAUCUAAAAAAUCUUCAGAUCUACGAUAACAUUCGGAAACAUUUUCCCGAGAAAAAUCGAAAUCUACCGUAUUAUCGUCGCAGUGGCAAAGGUUCUGGAGCGAGAGGAGAGCUAGGAUAAGCAUAAGGCCGGAGAAUAGCUGCCGGUCUCUCAUCAUCGGAACGGUUCGAGUAGAUCGGAGGGAGAAGAGAGAGAGAGAGAGAGAGAGUGGAAUCUAUUUUUUUUUUUUCCUGAAGAUUUUAGUUUCUCUGAGUGAUUUAUAUAUUUAAAUCCCGUAGACUCGGUCGAGUGUGUCGAUUUUUGUUGUUUCCACCAAUGAGAUCGCUCGCCACGUGGUGAGAGCCAAUAGAUGGACGCCACGUCAUGCGAAAGAGAGGUAUCCUACGUGCGCAAUUUGUAUUGCUACGUAAUGUGCAUGUUUAUUAUACAGAUAGUCUAACGUCAGUAUUGGGCUGGGCCUGUAAUCAAUUUAAAAGUCUCUGGUAGAGUAAGAGUCUUCUAGAAGCAAAAGUAACACAUUUAUCAGGAACAAAGAACCAAAUCAAACUAAACUAAAAAAAAUGAGGUUUGGUUCGGAUUUAGAUCAUAUAAUACACGAAUGAACGGAUCCUAUAACUUUUGAACUGAAAAACCAAAACCAAACUGGAGCAAACAAAGACCCGAAUGGAUACCCGAAUUUUUAUAAUAUAAUAUAUACACUUAUAAAUAUUAACUACAUUUAGUUUCAAAAUGAUAAAAUAAUUUGAAAUACUAUUUCUAAAAACUAAAUCUCCAAAUACAUUUUAUCCGAAAUAUUUUAAAUUAUUUGAACUAUCCAAAUUUUACCUAAAUUAUUGGAUAAAAAUCUAACAUUUAGUAAAAAAAAGACUGAAUUUACUUACUUUUUUUUGAAACACAUCUGAAUUUUCUUACUUUUAACAAAACUUAACAAAAAAACUAAAAUCGAACGGCUAACGAAUAUGAUCCAAAAAUGACCUCGGAUAUUAUUCGGUUUUUAAUUUUGUUAUCUAAACUAAACUGAAAAAUGAAAUAACCGAAUCAGAACCAAAGUGAAUCCUAAACAUCUAAAACUGAAAAGCAGAAAAAAUCGAAAGAACCGAACCGGAACCGAAUCCAAAAUUCUUUAGCGGAGCAAGAGUCUCUAUUGGGCUGGGCCUACUAAUCAAUUUGAAAGUCUCUAGCUGAGCAAGAGUCUUCCACAUACCAUUGACAAAAGCAAACUUUUUACACACGUAAGUCGUAAUAACCAUUACAGAAAUGUCACACACUAGUGGAAGAGUACAAGAUACUUUGUUAUUUUAAUAUUUGGUAUUAGAAAAAGUGGAAAACUAUAAAAUGUUGAAGAUGAAUAUCUAUAGUUUUACUGUUUAGGUACUAAGUGAUUGGUAACCAUCUUCCCGGUUCUUUCUCCGGUAUACCACGGCGACUAUUAGAACCACAACCGCCACCGUCACUGCAAGAAAGGCUAAAAAGCUCAUACUGCUCGAAUGUGCCUGCAAAGAAAUAAUGAAUACUGACGUUAAGUAAAGUAACACACAUGGUAAUAACCGGUUUGACCUAAACCGAGAUCUGUUACCGGCAGUUUACCUGCAAGAAGCUCUCCGGUCCAGGCAGCUGCUGAGAAACGAGGAUGUAAAAGAGUCCCAUGACUCCUGUAUGACCAAUGACAUUACUGUAAUUGAACUCCAAAGACAGUGUCUCUCCAUUAGUCACUUUCACCGGUUCAGGAUAACAAGACGACAUUCCAACGAUGUAACCAGCUUCGCUUCCAGGCUCAUCUCCAUUGCCAUACUUCGGCAUCGAGGAGCAUAUUACCUCACCGUCCUGAUCAAAAUCCAUAACACAAGAGUCUCAGUUUUUGAGUAAAAAGUUUUUGCCUUAGCUUAAAACCUUAGGUUGGGUGUUUAUACCCAAACCCGAAAUCCGAACUGAGACCAAACCAAAAUUCUAUCUAAACCAUCAUAAAAAAUAUCCAAAUAGAGUCUAAGAAUACUUUCGGACUCGGGUACAAUCCAAACCAAACUAAAAUCCGUACUAGAAUCCAAAAAAUCCACAUUAGUUAAUCUGUUAAUGUUUUUUUCUACAUAUGUUACGUUAAGAUAGUUUAGAAAUUUUUAAAAAAAUUAGAAUUUUUUGUAGUUUUUAUAGGAAUUGCGAAUCGUUAUUUUGGAAUACUUUUAAUCAGUUUAGGUAGCUUGACAAGUUUUUAAUCAGAUUUUUGAUUUUUUUUUUUGUAUAUUUUAAAUAUGUUUUUGUCAAUUUCAUUAAUUUUAUUUCCAGAUUUAAGUACGAUUUUUAGACAAUGGUUAUAAUUUGAUUUGAAUCAAACACAUACGAAAUCGAAUCAAACCCGAUCCAAAAACUAGUAAAAUAUGAAUAAGACCAUUGUGCAUGAUACCGAAAAUCCAAAACAAACCCCUAACAAGACACCAAACGUCCGGGCCUGUUAAAAACUAACCUCUCGGUACAGAGCUGCACCGAUACCACCUGCGUGCUGGUGAGCUACUCCAUAGACAAUAUACCCGUUAAACGGCAUCAUUAAGCUCUUUUUCUUAACAUCGACACACCCAUCACCCUUAGUUUUGCACGGUUUCACGUCAUAUUCCACCUGAAAAGAAAACAAUUAAUACACCUUAGCUAACGUUAAAAGCAUUAAUAAGCAGAGAUGUGAAAAGUCUUUACUGACAUGACAAAAAUGUUCUUGGUUAUCUCCUGUUGAUCCUUCUGACCGUUCCCAAGAAUCCGUUACAUCGAGAAUAUAAACCUUAGCCGGCAACAAAACCGAGCUGUCCCAAUCAACCCAUCUCACAGUAUACUUAAGAUACACAGUUCUUGUUUUGUUUCCACUGUCGAAUCCGUUUCUUAACCGACAUUGAGUCUUAUCGUAGCAGCAGUCUUGACCUCCUUUGUAUCCAGGUUCUAAAGCUCGACCGUACUCAUCAACCGUUACAUUAUAAAGACCACACCGACACUCGGUGCAUCCUUGUUUAUCCACAACCCCUCUAGUGUCAAUAGCGUGAAUAUUUAGAAGCCAUUUGAACUCAUACCCAUCAG